CCCCUUCUAAAAAAAAAAAAAAAAAAAAAAAAACCUCAGAAAGCUUCUUCAGAGAGAGAAAAUAAGGGGGAGGAGCCCAGGGCCACAUACCAAGCUUUGGGACAUGCUCUCUGGGAUUGCAGAGCAUCCAGGUCUGUCUUCACCCCUAUUAGUGCACACACAUCUACUCACAUGUCUUCCCUCAGGCUAUCAGGCAGGGGGACUUCACCAGGGGUUCAUGGAUAGGCUUCAAGAGGGUCUGUGAACCCCCAGAAAUUGUGUGUGAGACUGAGUAUGUGUUCUUUUUUCCAGGAAAGGCUCCAGUGGUUCUUAGUUGAUCCAAAAAAUGUUAAGAAUUAAUCUAGAAGGCUGGGCUUGGUGGCUCAUGCCUGUAAUCCCAGCACUUUGGGAGGCCGAGGUGGGUGGAUCACUCAAGGUCAGGCAUUUGAGACCAGCCUGGCCAACAUAGUGAAACCCUGUCUCUACUAAAAAUACAAAAAUUAGCUGGGUGUGGUGGCGUGUGCCUGUAGUCUCAGCUACUUGGGAGGCUGAGACAGGAGAAUCACUUGAACCUGGGAGGUAGAAGUUGCAGUGAGCCAAGAUCCUACCACUGCACUCCAGCCUGGGCAACAGAGUGAAACUCCACCUCAAAAAAAAAAAAAAAAAAAAAAAAAAAGUUAAUCUAGGAGAUAAUGAAUGGCCUAGUACUAGAUAAUAAAUGCCCCCACAAGCUCUUGACUUCUGUCCUUGGGGAAAGCCAUUUUGUUAACCACACUAGUGAAAUUUAUGUGAUGCUUAAUGGAGAACAGAGAAGAGCUUGUUGCAAAAAAUGUGUUAAAUAUUCGUGCUGUUUCUGUAUGAGAUUAAGAAGCUUUUCCCACCUCUCACCCUUGUUUCCUAUAAGGAUAUCCAGAGAAGCCAAGCUGUUCUGUGUGUUUGGGAAUGGUCGUUUCCCGGGAAGAUGCAUUUGGAUCGAUGACUAAACCUGGCCCUUUGGGCUGUAGUGAAGCCGCAUUUUCAUGCUGGCUGGCUGUGUGCUGAGAGCGCCUCGAAUGCUCUGCGGCAUCGUGCCCUUCUGCCCUGCCUGAGGAUGUGUGGAAAAGAUGAGAGUGGAGGAGCCUUUGUGCAGCAGGAAGAGGCUAGGUUCCUCGGGUUUAAGAGAAGCGAUCUCACAGACGGGAAUAGAAGUUGUGGUGGAGGUGAUUUGGGAUAGACUGAGUUCCCUAUGCAAGUGGAUGUGAGCUCCUCAUAGAAACCAGACCUACGUGUUAGACAGUAACCUCUAACCUCACCUCCAAGCCCAAGUGUACAGCCCUGCGGGGUUACCUGGUGACUGAAUUUCCCAGAUUCACUCUAAACUCAAGGUAGUGACCCAAAUAAACUGGGAGAGGAGCGUGUCAAGGAGGAAAAGCUGUUGAAAAUCUUUCUCCUAUUUAAGAGAAAUAUAUGCCCUAGAGCUGCUCCAGCACCCUUGGUUUCUGAUUUUUUAAAUAUUGAAUAUGGAUUACAAGAAUGAAAUCAGAUGACUGCAAAAAUGUUUAUAAGCAAAUAGCCUUCUUACAUUUUGGUAUAAAGCUGUGAACUUCGUAACUUUGUAAAGCAAGAUAUAAAGCAAAUACAAGAGGAAAAUAAAGUACUUUUACUAACUGACGGUUUA